rnacentral:lncRNA from 1 species
UCUCAUUCAAAAGGUUACUUUAUUAUUUAUAGUGAAAAAAUGGGGCAGGGAACAUUAAAGUCCAUCAUGCUUCCUGUAAGUGACCAGGCCAUCAUAAAAAACACUUGUCAAGGGCUGGGGAUGUUGUUCAGUGGUUAAGCACCCUGGGUUAAAUCCCAAGUACCAAAAAAGAAAAAAGAAACUUGCCAAGUCUCAGGCUAUAUCAUUUAACACCAUCAUCAAAAUUCCAAAGCAAAUCCCACUUUCAGUGGUCUCAAAAGGGACCAUUGCUUCAAGCAUUGCUGACAUAAAUUUUACUUGAUUUUUGUCAGGUUCCAGAAUUUAAAGAAAGAAUAUUCCUAAGGUAUAUCCUGGUCUUAAUAUAAUUUUUCUAGGGAUCCCAGGAAAAAUUUUGGAGUUAUUUUGUAUUGCUCGAAGAAAAAUCUCCCAUCAAAAAGAUGCAGACAUUUAUAUUUGUUUACUUCUAUACACACUUGUGCUAGUGUUAUGAUGUUGUAUAGGUGUAUAAACUAAAUUGAGGCCACUUUGAUUUAUUAAACCAUUCAUGUCAAGGAGCACUAUUAUCAUUUACUUUCCCUUCUAUAAAUGGACAUGGUUUUAAUUGCAUUUCAUUUUUUAAACCAAAAAAUGAAAGUUGUAGAAAUGAAACAUAAAGUAAACUUCAUCCCUUUGUAUUUAAUUUACUCAAGGCACAGGUUUACAGCUGGAAAGGGCAUCCUCCAUAACUCACCCACUUCCUUCCAUA